rnacentral:rRNA from 1 species
UACGUAGGGUCCGAGCGUUGUCCGGAAUUACUGGGCGUAAAGAGCUCGUAGGUGGUUUGUCGCGUCGUUCGUGAAAACUCACAGCUCAACUGUGGGCGUGCGGGCGAUACGGGCAGACUUGAGUACUGCAGGGGAGACUGGAAUUCCCGGUGUAGCGGUGAAAUGCGCAGAGAUCGGGAGGAACACCAAUGGCGAAAGCAGGUACCUGGACUAUUACUGACACUAAGCUGCGAAAGCUAGGGGAGCAAACAGG